GCAUGGUGUGACAUGCCUCCUGUUUCUAGGAUCUGCACAUACUGCACGCGUAACCAGGGGCAGUACCUUCCUCAUGGAUUCCAGCACUACAGCUUUGUGCCAUCUGCAUCCCUUCAGACCUUUACGGGUGAAAGGCAUUGGGUGUUGUGAAGAGUCAGGACAUACGAAAACAAAGAAGACGUGGUCUCUUCCUUCAAGAUGCUCACAGUCUAGUCGUGGGAGAGAGAAUGAAACCAUUAGUACUAACAAUUGUGACUACGUGCAACAGUUGCUGGUAGAAGAACAUCAACUCAGUCCUGGACCAAGCUGGGGAGGAAGCAGGGGCACUGCUCUUCCUUAGAA